AGAAACAUUGCUGCUAUGCUUACCACAUCAAGCCAUAUGAGCAAAAGACAAGAUUUACCUCUAAAUCACAAUGAGAUAACCUGGCUUAACUAGGUUGAAAUUCCUUUUUCUUCUUGCUCCUUUGAUAUCACCCAGUGUGUUGUGUCUUUCUGCAGGUGCUGUACCUUCUCAGCCAGCUGCAGCAAAGCCAAAUGGCAGAGAAGCAGCUGGAGGAGUCAGUCAGUGGAAAGGAACAACAGCUGCUGAGCACACUGAAGUGUCAGGAUGAAGAGCUUAAGAAGAUGCAAGAAGUGUGUGAGCAAAAUCAGCAGCUUCUCCGGGAGAGUGAAAUAAUCAAGCAGAAACUGACCCUCCUCCAAGUAGCCAGCGGGCAGAAACCUCAUAUUCCUAAGGAUAUCCUUCUAUCUCCAGACUCUUCCUUUGAAUAUAUCCCACCUAAGCCAAAACCUUCCCGUGUUAAAGAAAAGUUCCUAGAGCAAAGCAUGGACAUCGAGGAUCUAAAAUAUUAUUUGGAGCAUUCUGUGAAUGAGCAAGAAGAUGGUGAUGGUUAUGGUAAUGAUGGUGACGAUGAAGAAUGGAAGCCAUCAAAAUUAAUUAAGGUGCCCAGGAAGAACAUCCAAGGGUGUUCUUGCAAGGGUUGGUGUGGGAAUAAACAGUGUGGGUGCAGGAAGCAAAAGUCGGAUUGUGGCCUGGCCUGCAGCUGUGGUCUCACAAAGUGUUGGAACCGCCAGCAAGGGCAGGAUAGCUUCAGCACUGUGGAGCAGACUCGGGAUUCUGAAGGCUCCUUCAAACUAGAAGAUCCCACAGAAGUAACCCCAGGAUUGAGCUUCUUCAACCCUGUCUGUGCCACUCCCAAUGGCAAGAUCUUGAAAGAGAUGCAUGAAGUGGAGCAGGGGCUAUCAAAGAAGACUGCCCUGGCUCUCUCUUCUUUUGACCUCCCAGAAUCAAAACAUAUUACAACAGAAUCCCAAGAAAAUAAAGCUCCAGGGAAGAAAAGGAAGCGGGCUCUGGCCAGCAAUACCAGCUUCUUCUCUGGCUGCUCCCCUAUCGAAGAAGAGGCCCACUAAGUUGGAGUCAUCAUCUAGACCCCUAUCUGCCUUGGGAGACUUGUUCAGGUUGCAGUCAAGAGAAAUUUUUAAUGACUGCUCUGGAUUUCAGGUGUCUUGCUGUUGAGGGGACAGAAUGUUACUAAAAGGAUGGGAACCUUUGUUGAAUGUUGGCCCUCAGUCUCCUGCCCCUUGUCCCAGACUGCUUCUACUCUUUUUUCUCCAGAAGAUACUAAGCCACCUACUGAAGAGAGAAUCAACUGACCUUCCCCUUAGUGACUUGUCAGGAACCAGUCCCCAGUAGGAUCUAACUCUUCCUUGCUUGUGAGCAGUUGUCUUCUAUGUCAUCUCAGCUUAUGGAGGAGCCUGGCCCAGAAUGGAAGCCUGACUCAAAUCCUUUGCCUCACCUCAGGAAUAGAACUGGAACCUUUCCUGCCUUCACUCUGGAUUUUAAGUCUUUUAACAAGACCUUCAUUUGUCUGCCAUGUUAGUGAAGUAAAUGAAGUAUUUUAAAAUGUUAAAUAAAUAAAGCUUAACCUAUCUACUGUUCAGGAAGAUCCUUCUGCACUACAGGGAGAAAUAAAAUUUUAACCUGUGUUCUUAAGCCUCUGAGCUUAGAACUAUUAGGGAGAUUCAUCACAGGUUCCUAACCCUUCCUGCCCUUUUUGGGAAAGUUGCUUUGGGGAUGGAACCUGGGCCUUGUGUGUGCUAAUAAGCACAUGCUCUACCACAGGGCUACAUCCCAGCCUACCCUACUCUUUCACAGAGGCUAGUGUAAUAUGAUCCAAGUACCUCAGUCUGCAGCUGGGUGGGAACCAAAUGUUUGUUGAUGCCAGGACCUCAGACUGCAGCUCUGUGGGGUUCAAAUGUUUGUUGAUCGAUUGUGUGAUCCCAGGACCUCAGGCUGAAGCUGGGUGGGGACCAAAUGUUUGUUGUUGGACUUUCUGAUCUGAAGACCUCAGGCUGGAGCUGCAUUUUGACCAAAUGUUUGUUGAAUGACUCUCUAAUCCUAGGACCACAGGCUGCAGCUGUGUGGGGUCCAAAUAUUUGUUGAUUGACCCUCUAACCCCAGGACCUCAGGCUGCAGAUGUCUGGGGAUCAAAUAUUUGUUGAUGGACUCUCUGAUUCCAGGAACUCAGGCUGCAGCUGUGCGGGGACCAAAAGUUUGUUGAUCGACUCUCUGACCCUGGGAACUCAGUCUGCAGCUGGGUGGGGACCAAAAGUUUGCGGAUCGACUCUCAUCCCAGGACCUGAGGCUGUAGUUGUGUGGGGUCCAAAUGUUUCUUGAUGGACUCUCUGAUCCUAGGCCCUCAGGCUGCAGCUGGGUAGUGACCAAAUGUUUGUUGAUCGACUCUCUAAUCCCGGGACCUCUGUGCAGCUGGGUGGGGACCAAAUGUUUGUUGAUGGACUCUCUGAUCCCAAACCUCAGGCUGCAGCUGUGUGGGGAACAAAUGUUUGUUGAUUGACCCUCUGAUCCUGGACCUCAGGCUGCAGCUCUCUGGGGACCAAAUGUUUGUUGAUGGACUCGCUGAUCCCAGGACCUCAGGCUGCAACUGUGUGUGGAUUAAAUGUUUGUUGAUUGACUCUAUGAUCCCGGGACCUCAGGCUGCAGUUAGGUGGGGACCAAAUGUUUGUUGAUUGCCUCUCUAAUCCUGGGACCUCAGGCUGUAGCUGUGUGAGGCCCAAAUGUUUGUUGAUCGACUCUAUGAUCUAAGGACUUCAGGCUGCAGCUGGGUGGGGACCAAAUGUUUGUUGAUUGAUUGUCUGAUUCCAGGACCUCAGACAGCAGCUCUGUGGGAUUCAGAUGUUUGUUGAUCCAGUCUGUGAUCCCAGGACCUCAGGCUGAAGCUGGGUGGGGACCAAAUGUUUGUUGAAAAGACUCUCUGAUCCCGGGACCUCAGGCUACAGCUGUGUGGGGACUAAAUGUUUGUUGAUUGACUCUAUAAUCCAGUCUGCACUCCCACCAACAAUGGAGAAGGGUUCCUUUCUCCUCACACCCCACCAGCAUUUGUUUGUUUGUUUGUUUGUUUUGUACUGAGGAUUGAACUUGGGUCCUUGUGCUUGCGCAGCAGACAGCGAAACCACUGAGCUAAAUUCCCGGCCCCUCGGCAACAUUUGUUAUUGGUUGAGUUUUUUUGUUUGUUUGUUUUUUGGUACCAGGGAUUAAACUAAGGUCCUUGUGCUUGCAAGGCAGGUGGCAAAACCACUGAGCUAAAUCCCCAGCUGAUUAAGUUCUUGAUAGCAGCCAUUCUUUCUGGGGUGAGCUGGAAUCUCAGUGUUGUUUUCAUCUGCAUCUCUCAAAUAACCAGUGCUGUUGAACAUUUUUUCAUAUAUCUAUUUGCUAUUUCUACUUCUUCAUCUGAGAAAUGUCUUUUCAUUUCAGAUGUCCAGUUUUGGAUUGGGUGUUUAAAUUUGGGAUGUUUGACUUUUUAAAGUUCUUUAUAUAUUCUAGAUAGUUAGUAGACCUUUGUCUGAAGAACAGCUGGUAAAAAUUUUUUCCCACAUUGUACGUUGUCUCUUAGCUCUGUUGGUGGUUUUUCUUGCAAUGCAGAAGCUGUUUAAUAAGAUGAGAUCCUAGUUGUUGGUUCUUUGUGCAAGUUCCCUUUGUGCUACUGAGGUUUUGUUCAUAAAGUCUUUUCCUAUGCUGAUGUCUUCAAGAGUUCUAUCUAACUUAUCUUCCAGCAAGUUUAGUGUUUCUGUUUUAAUAUUUAGAUCUUUAAUCCACUUCAAUUUUAGUUUAGUGCAUGGUGGUAGAUAUGGGUCUAGUUUUAAUCUUUGGCAGGUUGAAAUCCAGUUUUUCCAACACCAUUUAUU
rnacentral:lncRNA from 1 species